UCCAUGCUAUUCACCCUAUAGUUGCUAGAGAUAAUGAGACUGAUUUGGAUGGAAACUCCGAUAUGAAGUUUACCUUUCAUCCUUCUGAAAUUUCUAACUCACAUGAAGAAAAGAGUUACUAUGCAGUAUAUGAUACAUCAGCAAAAUGCCGCUGUGCAGGAACAGCAUCCCUUGAGUGAUUGUGGUCUUCCUUGUAACUUCACUACUUAUUCUACUACUGAACCAAGCAUAAUUAAAGAUGAAAACAAGUGAACAGUAUUAUGAUAAAGAUUUUGUCUUCUCCUAUUUGGAACCCAUAUACCAUAUGUGAAGAAUCCCAGCCUACCUUGCUGGAGAAAGAUAUAACUUGUGAAGAAGAAAAUGGAUGUCACAGCCAACUGCCAGACAUCUGAAUAAGGUCACCUUGGAUCACUGAGCCCCAGUCAAACCAUCAGAUAAACACAACUGCCUGAAUGAUCCCAAAGAAGAACAGAACUUCUUAUCUGCGCAUAGCCCAAAUUGCUCAUCCUCAGUACUGAAAGAGCCGAGGUCAGAAUGAGAAACACAUCCCCACAGGAUUUCUGACCAUCAGUAACAUGAAUUAGCUGGUGUGCACUCUGCUCUGUAACCCUGGAAUCUCCUUUCUACUCGGAGGGAACCAGAUGUACAGCAUGAAGAAGUAUGCCCUUUGGAAAUGUAAAUGAAUACAGUUAAGAGGCUACACCGCCCUUUAAAGGAGUUCUUCUGAUCUCUUAGGAGCUUUACAUUUUGAAGAACAUGGAUGGAUGAGAAACUUGAUGUGGAUUAGAGAAGGACUCCUUCUGUCACCCAGGCUGAGGUGCAAU
rnacentral:lncRNA from 1 species